UACGGAGGGUGCAAGCGUUAUCCGGAUUCACUGGGUUUAAAGGGUGUGUAGGCGGGUAUUUAAGUCAGUGGUGAAAUCUCCGGGCUCAACCCGGAAACUGCCAUUGAUACUAUUUAUCUUGAAUUCUGUUGAGGUAGGCGGAAUAUAUCAUGUAGCGGUGAAAUGCUUAGAUAUGAUAUAGAACACCGAUUGCGAAGGCAGCUUACUAAACAGAUAUUGACGCUGAGGUGCGAAAGCGUGGGGAGCAAACAGG
rnacentral:rRNA from 1 species